UACAGAGGUCCCAAGCGUUGUUCGGAUUCACUGGGCGUAAAGGGUGCGUAGGCGGGUCUUUAAGUCAGGGGUGAAAUCCUGGAGCUCAACUCCAGAACUGCCUUUGAUACUGAAGAUCUUGAGUUCGGGAGAGGUGAGUGGAACUCCGAGUGUAGAGGUGAAAUUCGUAGAUAUUCGGAAGAACACCAGUGGCGAAGGCGACUCACUGGCCCGAUACUGACGCUGAGGCGCGAAAGCGUGGGGAGCAAACAGG
rnacentral:rRNA from 1 species